GGUUAGUGCCACAGUGAGCCCUUCCCCCAAGAGAGCGGCUGUCGAUGAGCUGCCGUUAGUGGGGCUAUUCAGUCAACAUUAAGAGAAGUGUUGGUCCUUAGAUGGAGAAUGAGGAAUUGAAGUUAAUCUCGGUCCAUUAACAAUUUUCAGGGCACUACAAAUCAACUGCCCUGGCUUGGAUGUACUUAUAAGGAAUUGGUGUCCUAAAGUGUUCUGAAAAGAAGCAGCUGCUUGCAAAAUGAAUUAAAGAAAUUUUACAGGAGUAAUGAUCUAACAGAGGAUGGAAGAAGUCACUAGAAUUAAGAAACCAUCCAGUUACCAGCAGUCAUGCCACUCAUUAUCAGCCAACCUGGAUUUAGCCAGGCUAGUUGUCUCUACAGAGAUUCUGAAAAAGAAAACAGAGAAAGGAAUAAGCCAAAACAAUCAACAGCAGAGGUUGGAAGUGUGAUUAUUACCCAUGCAGGAUGUCAAUGGAACUGAUUCAGCCACUAUAGGCUUGGGCUGGUGAGGACACUGCAAAGUACACAUUACAUUGGAAUCUGCUCUACAUUAAAGCCACAUCUGUGGAAUGUGUAAAACUGCUGCUGCUCUGAUCAGAGUCUCCAUUAUUCCAGGAGGUUAGGCCAUUGGGAGUUCGAUUGCUGACAGCAACUUGCCUCCUUCUCCUUGGGGCUGUAUUGGCUUUCUUAAGAAUGCAAACAGGUGCUGAGAUUCAAUGCUUAUGUGCUUAUGGGGCAUUUUUGCAUAAGGUGUUAAAACAUUUCUGCAUUCAUCAAUUUUCUGGAGAUGAGAAUGGUGCCAAAUUUUAAACAGCCCACAAAACUGGACCACAGUUGAAAUAAAAAAUCCUCCCCAAAGUACCAGUGACAAUUAAAU
rnacentral:lncRNA from 1 species